rnacentral:rRNA from 1 species
UACGUAGGGCGCAAGCGUUGUCCGGAAUUACUGGGCGUAAAGGGCGCGUAGGCGGCAGGCCAAGUCGGGAGUGAAAGCCCGGGGCUCAACCCCGGAAUGUCUUUCGAAACUGGCCAGCUUGAGUGCGGAAGAGGCAACUGGAAUUCCCAGUGUAGCGGUGAAAUGCGUAGAUAUUGGGAAGAACACCUGAGGCGAAGGCGGGUUGCUGGGCCGACACUGACGCUGAGGCGCGAAAGCCAGGGGAGCAAACGGG